rnacentral:rRNA from 1 species
GACGAACGCUGGCGGCGUGCCUAAUACAUGCAAGUAGAACGCUGAAGGAGGAGCUUGCUUCUCUGGAUGAGUUGCGAACGGGUGAGUAACGCGUAGGUAACCUGCCUGGUAGCGGGGGAUAACUAUUGGAAACGAUAGCUAAUACCGCAUAAUAGUAGAUGUUGCAUGACAUUUGCUUAAAAGGUGCAAUUGCAUCACUACCAGAUGGACCUGCGUUGUAUUAGCUAGUUGGUGGGGGAACGGCUCACCAAGGCGACGAUACAUAGCCGACCUGAGGGGGGGAUCGGCCACACUGGGACUGAGACACGGCCCAGACUCCUACGGGGGGCAGCAGUAGGGAAUCUUGGGAAAUGGACGGAAGUCUGACUGAGCAACGCCGCGUGAGUGAAGAAGGUUUUCGGAUCGUAAAGCUCUGUUGUAAGAGAAGAACGAGCGUGAGAGUGGAAAGUUCACACUGUGACGGUAUCUGACCAGAAAGGGACGGCUAACUACGUG